rnacentral:rRNA from 1 species
GUAGGUGGCAAGCGUUGUCCGGAAUUAUUGGGCGUAAAGCGCGCGCAGGCGGUUCUUUAAGUCUGAUGUGAAAGCCCACGGCUCAACCGUGGAGGGUCAUUGGAAACUGGAGAACUUGAGUACAGAAGAGGAAAGCGGAAUUCCACGUGUAGCGGUGAAAUGCGUAGAGAUGUGGAGGAACACCAGUGGCGAAGGCGGCUUUCUGGUCUGUAACUGACGCUGAGGCGCGAAAGCGUGGGGAGCAAACAGGGAUUAGAUACCCUGGUAGUCCACGCGUAAACGAUGAGUGCUAAGUGUUAGGGGGUUUCGCCCCCUUAGUGCUGCAGCUAACGCAUUAAGCACUCGCGUGGGGAUACGGCCGCAAGGCUG